GAACUUGCUCUUUUCAGAGCAACCUUUUUAUUCAUUAAAUAUAUAU
rfam:Struthio camelus australis contig6990, whole genome shotgun sequence.